rnacentral:rRNA from 1 species
GGCAGGCUUAACACAUGCAAGUCGAACGAUGAUUUCCCAGCUUGCUGGGAAUGAUUAGUGGCGGACGGGUGAGUAACAUUUAGGAAUCUGCCUAGUAGUGGGGGAUAGCUCGGGGAAACUCGAAUUAAUACCGCAUACGACCUACGGGUGAAAGGGGGCGCAAGCUCUUGCUAUUAGAUGAGCCUAAAUCAGAUUAGCUAGUUGGUGGGGUAAAGGCCUACCAAGGCGACGAUCUGUAACUGGUCUGAGAGGAUGAUCAGUCACACCGGAACUGAGACACGGUCCGGACUCCUACGGGAGGCAGCAGUGGGGAAUAUUGGACAAUGGGGGCAACCCUGAUCCAGCCAUGCCGCGUGUGUGAAGAAGGCCUUUUGGUUGUAAAGCACUUUAAGCAGGGAGGAGAGGCUAAUGGUUAAUACCCAUUAGAUUAGACGUUACCUGCAGAAUAAGCACCGGCUAACUCUGUGCCAGCAGCCGCGGUAAUACAGAGGGUGCGAGCGUUAAUCGGAAUUACUGGGCGUAAAGCGAGUGUAGGUGGCUCAUUAAGUCACAUGUGAAAUCCCCGGGCUUAACCUGGGAACUGCAUGUGAUACUGGUGGUGCUAGAAUAUGUGAGAGG